GGAAGGAUCAUUAACGAGAAAAACGGUGCUUGCGCCGUCCUCUCAAACCACUGCGUACCGAAUCUCGUCUCUUGCGGGCAGGCCUGUCCUCCCGCGAGGAACCAAAACAGUCGUCUGAUGUUGUCAGAAACUCAUUAAAAAAAACAACUUUCAACAAUGGAUCUCUUGGCUCCGGCAUCGAUGAAGAACGCAGCGAAAUGCGAUAGCUAGUGUGAAUUGCAGAUUUUAGUGAAUCAUCGAGUCUUUGAACGCACAUUGCGCCCUUUGGUAUUCCUCAGGGCAUGCCUAUUCGAGCGUCGUUUCGACCUCGAGCUCAGCUUGGUGUUGAGGAUUGCCCCUGGCAGCCUUUAAAAGCAUCGGCGGCAGCAGCAGCUCGCAUCGCAGCACAAUGCGUGAGAGUUUGCCAUCUGUUUGUCGAAAUUACACACCUUCGGGUGGCUAUUACCAGCUCGACCUCGAAUUAGGCAGGGAUACCCGCUGAACUUAAGCAUAUCAAUAAGCGGAGGAAAAGAAACCAACAAGGAUUGCCUCAGUAACGGCGAGUGAAGCGGCAACAGCUCAAAUUUGAAAUCUGGCUCUUUCAGGGUCCGAAUUGUAAUUUGCAGAGGAUGCUUCGGCUUUGGCGCCAUCCAAAGUUCCUUGGAACAGGAUGUCAUAGAGGGUGAGAGCCCCGUGUCCGGACGGAUGCCUCUGCCAUGUGAAGCUCCUUCGACGAGUCGAGUUGUUUGGGAAUGCAGCUCAAAACGGGAGGUAAAUUUCUUCCAAAGCUAAAUACCGGCUGGAGACCGAUAGUGCACAAGUAGAGUGAUCGAAAGAUGAAAAGCACUUUGGAAAGAGAGUUAAACAGCGCGUGAAAUUGUUGAAAGGGAAGCGCUUGCUGCCAGACUCGCCCGUCGUUGCUCGGCGGGGCUUUUGCCCCGUUCACUCUUCGGCGGGCGGGCCAGCAUCGACUCGGGCGGCCGGACAAAGGCCGCGGGAAUGUGGCUCCUCCGGGAGUGUUAUAGCCCGCGGCGCAAUGCGGCCUGCCUGGGUCGAGGACUGCGCAUCUGCUCGGAUGCUGGCGUAAUGGCCGCAAGCGGCCCGUCUUGAAACACGGACCAAGGAGUCUAACAUUCGUGCGAGUGUUCGGGUGGAAAACCCGUGCGCGCAAUGAAAGUGAACGUAGGUGGGAGCCCGCAAGGGUGCACCAUCGACCGAUCCCGACGUCUUCUGAAGGAUUUGAGUACGAGCACGGAUGUUGGGACCCGAAAGAUGGUGAACUAUGCCUAAGCAGGGCGAAGCCAGAGGAAACUCUGGUGGAGGCUCGCAGCGGUUCUGACGUGCAAAUCGAUCGUCGAAUUUGGGUAUAGGGGCGAAAGACUAAUCGAACCAUCUAGUAGCUGGUUCCUGC
rnacentral:misc_RNA from 1 species